rnacentral:rRNA from 1 species
UACGGGGGGGGCAAGCGUUGUUCGGAAUUACUGGGCGUAAAGGGCUCGUAGGUGGCCAAUUAAGUCAGACGUGAAAUCCCCAGGCUCAACCUGGGAACUGCGUCUGAUACUGGUUGGCUUGAAUUCGGGAGAGGGAUGCAGAAUUCCAGGUGUAGCGGUGAAAUGCGUAGAUAUCUGGAGGAACACCGGUGGCGAAGGCGGCAUCCUGGACCAACACUGACACUGAGGAGCGAAAGCCAGGGGAGCAAACGGG